GUCCACAUUUUGUUCUACUUGUAAAUUAUUGGUUGAAAUAAAAUUGCUCACUUUCUUUUUGGCCACUGAUUUGAACAUUGCCUGAUUUUGCUAAUGGUUACUCCAUCUUCUGUCUAAGGCAUUAAAAGUACCAAUCCCAAUUGUGUUUGUAGUGUUUCAUUCAUGCCUUAUAUGGAUGGAGGUGUUACUUAAUAGAUGUCCAAAUUAGUAGCCUUUUUCCUGAAUAAUAUUGCAUUUCAAUUGCUUCAUUUGUUUAGUCACGUUCAUGCCUCGUGUGCUUGUCAGGCGGAAAGGGAAUUGCAACCUUGGAUAGCCAAAGAUGAUGAUCAGGGUCAGAAGAUGUGGAGAAUCAACCAGCGGAUUGUAAAACUUAUUGUGGAGCUGAUGAGAAUUUAUGACAGUCCAGAGUCACUGGUAAUAUUGGCAAGCGCAUCAGACCUGCUUCUACGUGCCACAGACGGGAUGCUUGUUGAUGGUGAAGCUUGCACACUGCCACAACUUGAGGUAACAUCUCCUAAGAAUAUGUUUUGAAGUCUCCUGUUCACCCAUAUUGUAGACCUAGUCUAUCUUGUUGUUAAGCAUCAGAAAUCUGCUUAGUUGAAAAUUUACCGAAGCUUAGAUAAUAGACCUAGUGCUAUAUUUGCUUCCGAAAGCAUUGCCAAUGCUUGGUUGUCUUAUUGGUGUUCCCACAUACAUUGAAUUGGUAGUUACUGGAAGCAACAGCUAGAGCAAUUCAGCCCAUCCUGCGGUGGGGAAAGUCUGGAUUAGCAAUUGCAGAUGGUCUUUCAAACCUUUUAAAGGUAAAAAACAAUAAAAGUAAAACUAUUACUACAGUUAUUUUGGUCUGGAGUAGCAUUGUUCACUUAUACUUUCCAACAAUGUUUGCAGUGUCGUCUACCUGCAACGAUCCGAUGCCUUUCUCAUCCAAGUGCCCAUGUCCGUGCACUGAGCACUUCAGUUCUUCGUGACUUUUUACAUACCAGUUCGUUCAAAUCAAAUAUUGAGCAAGUAGAGAGAAAUGGCAUCCAUGGGUCUUCGUUACACUACUUCAAUAUUGAUGCAAUUAACUGGCAAUCUGACAUCGAAAAAUGCUUAACUUGGGAAGCCCAUAGCCGACUUGCAACAGGAAUGCCGAUUCAGUUUCUUGAUAUCGCUGCCAAGGAAUUAGGUUGUACAAUAUCUAUAUGAAAUAAAAUAACCUACAGCAGUCAUUUGAGGUUUGUGAUUAUAAUUUAUUUUUCCAAGUGAGAUUUAUGGAUGGUAAUAACCAGAUCAAUUGCUUUGAAAGAUAUCAUUUGGUUUUUAAUCUGUGUUUGCUCUUCAGGCGUGUUUGUGUAUGGUACUAAAGCAAAAUAGAUGGGGUUGUGAUCAUGGUCAUAUGUGUUGUUAUAUAUAGGCUGAAGCUCUAACUUUGCUGGUUAGAUUACUAGAUGUAAUUUAGAUUUUCUGCAGACCGGGAUUGGAUGAAGAGGCAAAAUGAGGGUGCGUUUGGGAUGGAGGUGCUGUAGUUUUUAAGUUAUAGCUGCUAUGGAAAAAAAAUUAUAAUUAUGAAAUAAAAGUUAGUAAUAAGAUUCAUUGCUAGUGAAAUAACCUCGAUUUAUGUAACCAAUAUACAUGAGACCUAUGCAGUUGUUGUAUAUCACUAUCAAUAUAUGUCUUGACCUUCUAUGUUUGUUUGUGCAGGUGGUUGACGCACUGUGCAAUGUUGUCUCGGCAUCACCCACGAAAGCGGCUACAGCUGUUGUUCUUCAGGUCCACAUUUUGUUCUACUUGUAAAUUAUUGGUUGAAAUAAAAUUGCUCACUUUCUUUUUGGCCACUGAUUUGAACAUUGCCUGAUUUUGCUAAUGGUUACUCCAUCUUCUGUCUAAGGCAUUAAAAGUACCAAUCCCAAUUGUGUUUGUAGUGUUUCAUUCAUGCCUUAUAUGGAUGGAGGUGUUACUUAAUAGAUGUCCAAAUUAGUAGCCUUUUUCCUGAAUAAUAUUGCAUUUCAAUUGCUUCAUUUGUUUAGUCACGUUCAUGCCUCGUGUGCUUGUCAGGCGGAAAGGGAAUUGCAACCUUGGAUAGCCAAAGAUGAUGAUCAGGGUCAGAAGAUGUGGAGAAUCAACCAGCGGAUUGUAAAACUUAUUGUGGAGCUGAUGAGAAUUUAUGACAGUCCAGAGUCACUGGUAAUAUUGGCAAGCGCAUCAGACCUGCUUCUACGUGCCACAGACGGGAUGCUUGUUGAUGGUGAAGCUUGCACACUGCCACAACUUGAGGUAACAUCUCCUAAGAAUAUGUUUUGAAGUCUCCUGUUCACCCAUAUUGUAGACCUAGUCUAUCUUGUUGUUAAGCAUCAGAAAUCUGCUUAGUUGAAAAUUUACCGAAGCUUAGAUAAUAGACCUAGUGCUAUAUUUGCUUCCGAAAGCAUUGCCAAUGCUUGGUUGUCUUAUUGGUGUUCCCACAUACAUUGAAUUGGUAGUUACUGGAAGCAACAGCUAGAGCAAUUCAGCCCAUCCUGCGGUGGGGAAAGUCUGGAUUAGCAAUUGCAGAUGGUCUUUCAAAC
rnacentral:lncRNA from 1 species